AUUUAUUAAGAUUUGAAUUGGAGAUUAUUAUGCAUGUUUGAUGCUAUAUCACUUUAUGCUAGAGAAUUUAUUGAAAGUUUUGAGAAAUUUAUCACUUAUGAUAUGCUACAAUUUACACUUUGUUUAACAAUAAAUUUUAUUGGCAAUGAAAAGGGGGUUUCAAUUGGCAGUCCGAUGGCAUGCAUUCUGACAGAGUUAAUUAUCAGAAGUAAGGAGGCUAUGAUUACUAAGAAUUUUACAGAUAGAUGGAAAUUCUAUAAAAAACAUAUUGAUGACAUCAUGAUUAUAUGAAAGGCAGAUUAUAAAACUGAAGAAUUAGUGACUGCCUUCAAAAAUGAAGUGUAUGGGUUAAGUUUGAAGGUAGACUACAAGGAUAGAAAAUUAAUUCAUUAAUCAGAUGUUUGGAUAAAAGCAGAAGAAAUAUUUAUAGCACUAAAGUGUAUCAAAAAAGCAACUGCUAGUAGGAUAAUAAUUCCAGGUCGGUCUGAUGAUUCUCUUGCAUAUAAAAAAAGCCUAUAUUCCAUGCAUACUUUAGAAGUAUUAUCCAUUGCAAUAUGUUAGAAGCAAGAUGCAAGUAAAUUGAUAUGAUAAAUCAAACAGGAGUGAAGCAUGGGUACACUAAAUUCUUUAUAAAGUUAAUACAAUCAAAAGUAGAGCAGUGGUGUGCAGUCCAUGGAAGCUGUGGAAGCGCUGCUUCCCUUGUAUUUUCUAAAAUAUAAAUAUUAAAUAUACAGUGGUACCUCGACUUGCGAGUGUCUCAACUUAUGAGUUUUUCGAGAUACG
rnacentral:lncRNA from 1 species